CCUAGCCUGGUAGCGGGGGAUAACUAUUGGAAACGAUAGCUAAUACCGCAUAAGAGUAGAUGUUGCAUGACAUUUGCUUAAAAGGUGCAAUUGCAUCACUACCAGAUGGACCUGCGUUGUAUUAGCUAGUUGGUGAGGUAACGGCUCACCAAGGCGACGAUACAUAGCCGACCUGAGAGGGUGAUCGGCCACACUGGGACUGAGACACGGCCCAG
rnacentral:rRNA from 1 species